ACUAUUUUGGCAGAAAAGAUGUAAUGAUUUUAGAAGUCAUGAAUAUAUAUGUAUAGUAUAUAUAUAGUA
rnacentral:tRNA from 1 species